UUGUAGGCAUUACUACUGUGAGAUUGUUACCUUUCAGCAUUUGUUCUGGACUGCUUGUCUGUGGGGAAGGCACAAAAGCCUGCUGGUUCUGCAUACAUUUUGUUUCUGGUCCAUGGCCCUACUACUCUGGCUCCAAAGCCCAGGAAACUCAAAUGUCGUCACAGACUGCUGUGAGCUGCUCUUUUCCGUACCUUCCUUCACUUUGGGGAGCUGUUUCUUCUGACUCAACAAUAAAUAGCAGAGAAGGGAUGUACUCUGGGAGUUCAGAUAUAUGAUAUGUACGAAGUCAUGCUUUCUGAUUGUGAAGGGGACCACAAGUAAAUCCUCCUUGUGCACCCAGAUUGGAUCUUGCAUUGAAAAACAUCAAAACCUGAAUUAUACGGAGGCUAUGCAGCACUAUGUAUGUUAGUGACUGACAUACUCUAGCAGUGAUAUCACUAUUGCUUAAACAUCAGUGAAGAAGCUACCAAGCAAAUGAGAAAGUUACAAGUUCUAGCGGCUGCACUGAACUGCCUGUUACAGAGACAUCAGGCAGGAUAAACAAGUGUACAACAUUGUGAAAGCACUUUUUAACAGCCAGGCCUCCAACUCCGACCAAGUGUGCUAAAGGCUGAUAAGAGUGCUCUUUGAGAGAACAAUUCAUGGGUUACAAGAAGCAUUAAAUGUGUGUGGAGAAACAUCUUGAAACCUCAAAUCCUGCAGAGUUGUUUUGGAUUAAGGGGGAGGAAAAGGAUGGGACUCUUGUCUAAACGUCAGGUAUAGACAGACAUACCCCAGAGUUGUGGCACCCAUUAAUAGAUCAAGCAAGGCUGUGCAGCUGUGUUUUGAUCAGUGGAAAGGUUUCCUGGCAUCCAAGAACUGAAAUCACCUUUUGGGUCAUCACACCUCACUGGAGUUUUCCCUGGUUUAAUGAGCAACUUGGAAACCAUAGAGAGGACCAGAGGUUGGGGUUGUUGUACAUUCUUGUAUUAGAAAGCUGCUCCAUAGCAUCCGCAAGAGGAUUUUUGGCACCUGUCUAGUUACACUGGAUGUCCAAUGUUAUCUCUCCAGGCAAGUAAGAUUCUGGCAAUCACUGCAGUCCUAUUUCACUUGUUCUCAGUCUUUUUGACAUAAACACAUUAA